GAUGAAGAACGUAGCGAAAUGCGAUACGUAAUGUGAAUUGCAGAAUUCAGUGAAUCAUCGAGUCUUUGAACGCACAUUGCGCCCCCUGGUAUUCCGGGGGGCAUGCCUGUCCGAGCGUCAUUGCUGCCCUCAAGCACGGCUUGUGUGUUGGGCCUCCGUCCUCCUCCCGGGGGACGGGCCCGAAAGGCAGCGGCGGCACCGCGUCCGGUCCUCGAGCGUAUGGGGCUUCGUCACCCGCUCUUGUAGGCCCGGCCGGCGCUUGCCGACACAUCAAUCUUUUUUCCAGGUUGACCUCGGAUCAGGUAGGGAUACCCGCUGAACUUAAGCAUAUCAAUAAGCGAGG
rnacentral:misc_RNA from 1 species